rnacentral:rRNA from 1 species
CCUACGGGUGGCAGCAGUGGGGGAUAUUGCACAAUGGGGGAAACUCUGAUGCAGCGACGCCGCGUGGGUGAAGAAGUAUUUCGGUAUGUAAAGCCCUAUCAGCAGGGAAGAAAGAAGACGGUACCUGACUAAGAAGCCCCGGCUAAAUACGUGCCAGCAGCCGCGGUAAUACGUAGGGGGCGAGCGUUAUCCGGAUGAACUGGGUAUAAAGGGAGCGUAGACGGCCGUGCAAGCCAGGAGUGAAAGCCCGGGGCCCAACCCCGGGACUGCUCUUGGAACUGUGCGGCUGGAGUGCGAGAGGGGCAGGCGGAAGUCCUGGUGUAGCGGUGAAAUGCGUAGAUAUCAGGAGGAACACCGGCGGCGAAGGCGGCCUGCUGGACCGCGGCUGACGUUGAGGCUCGAAAGCGUGGGGAGCGAACAGGAUUAGAUACCCCAGUAGUC